CAUAUUAUAAAGGGGAAACGCAUGGGUUCCAAUCCGAAUGAUAAUCCUCAUCCAAGUUGUAGAGCUUCUCCAUAUCCUCUUUAGAUAUUUCGAAAUCGAAAACGUCGCCAUUCUCUUUGAUCCUCCUGGGAGUAGAACUCUUGGGAAGUACAAUGAAUCCACGCUGUAGACAGUAUCUAAUCAUGAUUUGAGCCUCAGACUUGUUAUACUUGCUAGCAAUGGCGAGAAGUUGCUUGUUGCCAAACUUUUCACCAUGAACAAGAGGAGCGUAGGCAGCAAGUUGGAUACCCUUGGAUUCACAGUAAUCGACGACUUUUUGUUGGGAGCAAAAAGGGUGAAGUUCGAUUUGAUUGACACAUGGUAUAAUCUUUGGAUGGCUGUCCAACAAUUCCUGGAUGUGAUGAGGACCAAAGUUGGAAACGCCGAUAGCACGAAGUUUUCCCUCUUCAACACCUUUCUCCAACGCCUUCCAUGAUUCAAUACGAUCACCAUAGGGAGAGUGAAGAAGAAACAGAUCAAUAUAGCCAAGGCCACAUGCCUUAACACUGGCAUCAAUACUGCUCAAAGUAGAUUUGUACCCACUUAAAUCAUUAAGCUUGCUAGUGAACCAAAUAUCCUCUCGUUUCGUACCAGUCUCUUCCAUGAACUUAAGGAUGGCUCUUCCACAGUCAGCCUCGUUGUGAUACAUCUGAGCCGAAUCGAUGUGUCGAUAUCCGCAUUGAAGGGCAGCAUACACCGAAUCGAAGCAUUUUGUACGAUUCACCAUGUAAGAACCGUAAGCAAAUUGAGGGCACUUAAGUCCAUUGUUUAACUUAACAAAUGAUCCCAACAUAAUGUAUGAACAAAAAAAUAAAAUUAAAUUAAAAGAAAAAAGUCAAAAAUUAAUGAACGAGGAAAUUGAUAAUUAUUCAAUUAAGCAAUCAACGAGAUUCAGCAAAAUUGAAUAUAACCAAGCUGUUUUUCAAUGCUAUUGAGUAUUUUUGAAAUAUUCAAUAUUUUCAACUACCAAAGAAAAGAACGUUAUAAAUUCUUUUCACUAAAAUGGUAUUGCUAACCCGACAUGCGAACAACACAGUACUAUUUAUACCAUGAAAAACUUCUGAUAUAACAUUAAUGAGUGGUAAUGAUAAGCAACAUCCCGAAGCACCAUCACGUUUUUACCUUACGUACAGCGACAUGUAAAGAAUGAUGUUAACCCAGCUUUUCGUCACAAAAGUUCGUUAAGCUUCGAAUUCGUACUAAUCGAUCGAUGGAAUUCAGCAAUGUUCGUUCGAGAAUGAAAUGAAUAAAAUGCUAUGUAUGAGAUCAAUCGAAGCUUGUGACAAAUGCUGAAUCGCGAAUAUAGCGGUUUUUUGAGAAAUUUGUGAUUGAGCGGGUUUUAUAGUUUUUAAGCGGAUUUUUAUGCGAGAGCAAAAGACUGAACUCCAAUAGUAAUUAUUGAUAAAAAUGCAUUUAAUGAACAAUGCGUUUGUACUUGCUGAGUAUUAGCUUAAUUGACAUCAAGGUGUGGUAGACUUAUAAUCAACAAGAGAAAACGCUCUCAAGUUUUAUUAUACAUUUUAUUUAUCUUACCUUUAAACAUUAUUCGUGUCUUUUAAACCGACGUAAAUGUAUGAUUAAAAUAGUAUGGAAUGCGCUACUUUGAAAUGGACUGCUCUACCAGACUAUUGCCGCUCCAUUCCAUAUGUGAAACAUAGGGAAAAGUUUUAAACUACAAUGAUUAGUUUUCGUUGUUUGAUUUUUUUACGUAGACUGCAUGAACGUGAAUUCAAUUCAAUAAAUAAUAUUAAGUAAAAGAAUUUUCGCAUCAGGAAGUAAGUGAUGAAAAACGAUUGUACAUGCAACAGAACCCAUUAUGCAGGAAAUCAACCUUUUUU